UACGAAGGGUGCAAGCGUUGCUCGGAAUUAUUGGGCGUAAAGCGCACGCAGGCGGCUUAGCAAGUCGGAUGUGAAAUCCCUCGGCUCAACCAAGGAAGUGCAUCCGAAACUGCUGAGCUUGAGUACGAAAGAGGAUCGCGGAAUUCCCGGUGUAGAGGUGAAAUUCGUAGAUAUCGGGAGGAACACCAGUGGCGAAGGCGGCGAUCUGGGUCGAUACUGACGCUGAGGUGCGAAAGCGUGGGGAGCAAACAGG
rnacentral:rRNA from 1 species